UUACUACUCCGUCCAUCCCAAAAUUCUUGUCCUAGGUUUGUCUAGAAAUGGAUGUAUCUAAAUACUAAAAUGCGACUAGAUAAAUCUUUAUCUAGACAAAUCUAAGACAAGNAUUUUGGGACGGAGGGAGUAUAUC
rfam:Hordeum vulgare subsp. vulgare, WGS project CAJW01000000 data, contig: morex_contig_365965